GCUAACUCGGUGCCAGCGUCCGCGGUAAUACGGGGGGUGCAAGCGUUUGCCGGAUUUAUUGGGUUUAAAGGGUCCGUAGGCGGACCGGUAAGUCAGUGGUGAAAGCCUACAGCUUAACUGUAGAACUGCCGUUGAUACUGUCGGUCUUGAGUGUGGUUGAGGUAGCUGGAAUGAGUAGUGUAGCGGUGAAAUGCAUAGAUAUUACUCAGAACACCAAUUGCGAAGGCAGGUUACCAAGUCACAACUGACGCUGAUGGACGAAAGCGUGGGGAGCGAACAGGAUUAGAUACCCCGGUAGUC
rnacentral:rRNA from 1 species